AUUCCAUGAUGAGGGCACUUCUGUAAUAAUUCUUUGUACCUUUCCCAUGCCUCAUACAAAGACUCAUCAUCCAUUUGUUGGAAAACUGUGAUCUCAUUCCUUAACUU
rfam:Gossypium arboreum cultivar AKA8401 contig_1040_13, whole genome shotgun sequence.